rnacentral:rRNA from 1 species
CAGUAGCCGCGGGAACACGUAGGGUCCGAGCGUUGUCCGGAAUUAUUGGGCGUAAAGGGCUCGUAGGCGGUUUGUUGCGUCGGGAGUGAAAACCCAGGGCUUAACUUUGGGCUUGCUUUCGAUACGGGCAGACUUGAGGCAUUGAGGGGAGAACGGAAUUCCUGGUGUAGCGGUGAAAUGCGCAGAUAUCAGGAGGAACACCGGUGGCGAAGGCGGUUCUCUGGCAAUGUUCUGACGCUGAGGAGCGAAAGUGUGGGGAGCGAACAGGAUUAGAUACCCGCGUAGUCCCUGUCUCUUAUAC